rfam:Taeniopygia guttata chromosome 1A, whole genome shotgun sequence.
CUAACGGCUCUUUUAAGAGCCACCUACACUUUCUUAAAAAGUGCUG